CUCUCCCCUCAGAACUGGGAGAGAUCCGGACAAUACUUGCAGUAGAGCUCCCAAAUGAGAGGGGUUAUGGAAAAAGGUGAGAGAGGAGGCUUAGAGACAAUCAGAGGAAUGUGUACCUUGUGGAGACGUGAGUUACUGCCACUCGCCUCUUCCUGAGCACUGCAAAAAAGCCCUACUUCUUCUCCGCAGCAAGAGUGCAGCACUUACCCGAGGCCCUGAUUCUGCCAUCCUUACCCUCCAUUGGCUUUGGAGCGGAGCCCGGAGCUGGAGCGCGGAGCAGCUCCAGAUCAGUGGAGCUGCAGGUUUUUGCUUGGAGCUGGAGUGGAGCAGGAGCACAGCUCCAAAGCCCUGUAUUUCAUUUGAUCAAAUAUGACUUAUUGUGCUUUGACUUAU